rnacentral:lncRNA from 1 species
GUCAACAUGACACUGACACCAACCUAGAUUCCUGUUGUUGUUGUCUCAUGUUUGAUUGAAUGCCCUCUCUGUCCGUUGGGCUAUUAGAUUCCAGUAGACUGUCACUCAGGGGCUUACUGUUUUGCUCUCUCUUGCUCCCCCCCUGCAAGCUCUCUGUCUGUGAUGUUGUUUCUCUUCGUCCCAACAACACCACAGUGUUGACUGACCGAGACCCUAUCUCCUCCCAAGUGGUCAACACAUCAAAAACAUUAAGAAGACCAGCUCUCUGUUUCAGACAAACAUCACUGACUCUGAGGGACAGGGGGAGGUGUGUGGGUGUGUGUGUGUGUGUGUGUGUAAGGGUUUAUCUCUCGAAAAUCUCCUCUCCCUAUCGCCUUCCACUGCUCCAUCCCACAACAAUGACAACAGAACAUGUCAAUCAAAAUGAUGGCACCGCAUUCUUUAAAAAGGAAAUACACCAUCACCCUUGGCUGUACACAGAGAGCUAAAAUUAAUACUCUGCAUGUACUUCUCUCAUGGCUCAAAGUGGAGGAGAGAUUGACUACAACACUACGUUUUUAUAAGAAGUGUUGACAAGCUGAAUGUGCCGAGCUGUCUGUUUAAAUUACUAGCACACAGCUCAGACACACAUGCAUACCCCACAAGACAUCUCUUCACAAUCCCCAAGUGCAGAACAGACUAUGGGAGGUCACACAGUACUACAUAGAGCCAUGACUACAUGGAACUCUAAUUCACAUCAGGUAACUGAUGGAAGCAGUAAAAUCAUAUUUAUAAAACAGAUAAAAAUGCAUCUUAUGGAACAGCGGGGACUGUGAAGGGACACACAGGCAUAGACACACACAUACAAACACUUGAGAAGACAUGCACUCUACACACACGAAAAAUUAUGGAUUUUGUGUUGUAGAUAUGUGGUAGAAGAGUAGUGGCCUGAGGGAACACAAUGUGUUGUGAAAAGUGUUAUUAAAUGUAAUGUCAUGUAAUAUUUGAAAUUGUAUAUAACUGCCUUAAUGUUGUUGGACCCCAGGAAGAGUAGCUGCUGCCUUGGCAGGAACUAAUGGGGAUCCAUAAUAAACCCCAGGAAGAGUAGCUGCCGCCUUGGCAGGAACUAAUGGGGAUCCAUAAUAAACCCCAGGAAGAGUAGCUGCUGCCUUGGCAGGAACUAAUGGGGAUCCUUAAUAAACCCCAGGAAGAGUAGCUGCUGCCUUGUCAGGAACUAAUGGGGAUCCAUAAUAAACCCCAGGAAGAGUAGCUGCUGCCUUGGCAGGAACUAAUGGGGAUCCAUAAUAAACCCCAGGAAGAGUAGCUGCUGCCUUGGCAGGAACUAAUGGGGAUCCAUAAUUAAAAAUGUUUAAAAAAAAGUGUAACCUUUAACUAGGCAAGUCCGUUAAGAACAAAUUCUUAUUUACAAUGAUGGCCUACCAUGCCCUACCAUGCCCUAACCCGGACGACGCAGGGCCAAUUGUGAGCCGCCCUUUAGGACUCCCAAUCACGGCCGAUUGUGAUACAGCCUGGAAUCGAACCAGGGUCUGUAGUGACGCCUCUGAGAUGCAGUGCCAUUAGAGAACACUGUGCCACUCAGGAGCCCUCUAUAAAUAUAAAAUACAUAUGAAAAUCUUCAGCUCAGGAGUAUCUGUACAUCCUGUCUCUCUCUAUGUAAUGUUGUGUCUCUCUUGUUGUGAUGUGUUUUGUCCUAUAUUUAUAUUGUAUUUUAUAUAUAUAUUUUUUUUAUCCCAGGCCCCCAUUCCCCGCAGGAGAGGCCUUUUGCCUUUUGGUAGACGGUCAUUGUAACUAAGAAUUUGUUCUUAAUAACUGGCUUGCCUAGAUAAAUAAAGGUUAAAUACAUGAAUAAAAAAUAAAUACGAAGCUAGCUAUCGCACACGAUGAACUUCAGAUACAUCAGUGGAUUCGUCCCAAAUAGCACCCUCUUACCUAUAUAAGUGCUCUACAUUCGACCAGAUACCUAUGGGCCCCUGGUCAAAAGUAGUGCACUAUAUAGGGAGCAGUGUGUCCAGUCCUUGUGAGUUAUUUGACAUGGCUCCUGAUUCACAUGAUUCCUAUUGUUCUCUGUGGCCCCAUGAGAAGUGGUACCGUGGUAGCCAGCCUGGGUCAUAGUGUUAUAGUACUCAAGAACUGGUCUUUUUUUUUUUUUUAAAUGUACUCAGUCUUAGACAAUUUAGACUCUUAAAACACUCAUAAUAAUCAGCUCUCAUUCAGUCAAUAGAUAAAACCUUUUUGCCAGGUCAAAUAUCCACACUCCUUUCAUGAUACAUUAAUGUCUUAUUGCCUAUUAAAACCUGGCCUUCCCACAUUUACUCGUGACACAUGUUACAGAUGCUGUAUCUUAAUUUGAUCAUCCUGUUGUUGCAGAAAUGUUCACAACACAACAGGAAAUGCAAACUUCUAGUUGAUCCCUUGUAAACAUCUGUAGUAAGGGGAGACUGGGGAAGUUGUAACACAUUUGGUAUUUGUAUUUAUUAAAAACAAAAACGUUUUAAGUGAAAAGUAGGCAUUGCUCUGAAACUUAAAAAAAUGUAAUUUACAUGAGCACCACAAUGCAUACUCCACCCAUGCUCCACCAAGGUUUUCCAGCAUACAGCUUUGACCUACUACACUAGCUAUGUUGGUCUAUUGAACUUCAAAUGUGUAGGCAGGUUGCUUAGGAUACAAACCUUCUCAAACAUCCUAAUUCAUACUCUUAGAGGAUGUGCUUCCCCAAUAAUGUGAUUUGUACUUUACAAGGUAAAGUAUUGGAUUCUUCCACAUUCUUUCACCACACUAAUCCCAUUCCACUACCAUUUAAAGCUUUUUUUUAUUUCUUUUUUUGAUAUAUGAAAGCAAGCGUUUCUUUUAUACUUAGAAAACCAUCAUGCUUGAUUGAGUAAGUUGUUUUGUCUUGCAGUAAUGUGGUGCCUGACUGUAUUUCCUUAAACGUUUUUAUUUAGCAAUACAUGUCAUUGAGAAAAUUAUUUUUUUGGGGGGGGUCAGUAGGUGGACACAGUCACUCAUACAGUGCCUUCAGAAAGUGUUCAUACCCCUUGACUUAUUCCACAUUUUGUUGUUACAGCCUGAAUUCAAAAUGUAUUAAAUCAUUUUGUUUUAUCUCACCCAUCUACACACACCAUAAUAAUAAAGUGAAAACAUG